GCACCUAGAAAGCAUGUGUUGGCCUUUGCAGUCUUCAGUGGGGUGGCCUCUACCCAUCCCAAUCUCUGGUUUUUAUGACCCUUCCUAAGUACUCGACGAGUGUUUACGUUGAAAAGACCUGGUGUCUAAGCAGGUCUGAGUUGACUGGAUGGCAGAGAACAAGAAGGGUGAUGGGAGACAUUGGUCCAAGGCCACUGAAGGUGCAAGUGGGACCCACAAAAGAUGGACCAGUGGAACUCCGAUGGCCAUCAGCUGAUGAAUGGGUCUGCCUGAGCCAUGAAGACUGUCUGUGUACUUUGUAUGGCUUCUGCUGACGUCAGCCCUUCAGGUCGCACCUGGCACAAGAAGGUCACUUCCUGCGUGGAUUUCUCCCAUCCCCAGCUUGAGAGCAGAGGAGGUAGUGGGUUGCCAAAUGUCUGCCAAAAGUUCCUGUCCACCUGAGCCUCGGACUGUGAUCUUAUUUGGAAACAGAGUCUUUGCACAUGUGAUUAAAGACCUGAAGAUGAUGAGCUCAUCCUGGAUUUCGGGUAGGGCCUCAGUUGAAUGACUGUUGUCCUUGUAAGAAAAGGAGAGGACACAGAGACAUGGAGGGGAGAAGAUCAUUUGAAAGACAGGGGCAGAGCUCGUAGAGCUGCUGCUGCAAACCAAGGAGGCAGGAACCGCCAUGAGCUGCAGAAGGUGGCCUCAAACCCUGUCAGCUGCUCCUGCGCUGUGACCUCACUCAGCUCUGCUUCCCAGAACUCCAGGUCUGGCAGGCCUGGAGAUGCUGCAGUCUCCUGGAUGCACAGACUCGCUGGGGCUUCUGCCAGGUCUCCUGCCGUUGACUGUACCUGACCUCAUUGCCAGGAUGGGAAGUUAUCAUUGUGAUGGCCUCUGGAAAUGCAGCUGGUGAGUCUCAUAGGAAGGGCAGACCUUUCCCAAUGAGUCCGCCCUUGGGAGUUGGCUAAAUGAACUUGUCCUUUCUUCUCUGAAUCCUGGGGCAUCAUAUUUCUUUUGAGCUCCACUUUGAAAACAAAAUGAAAUGUGAAACUUGAAUAAAAUGAGGGAUGCAGACUGCCAGCCAGGCAGAAUGUUCUCAGCUCAUUUGGAUCUUCCACCCUCUUCUCUUCCUGGAGAAAUGUGUCUCAUGUUACUCUCUGCAUCAUAAUCAUCUGGAUGGUUGUUAAAACUCAGAUUUAUGGACUUAAACUCAACUAGGUUGCAGGUGGGGCCAAGAAUUUGCACUUCUACAUGGUCCCAGAUGCUGCUGCUGCUGCUGGCACAGGCACCACAUGUGGAGAACUAGAUUUGGGGACAUCGAGCUGAUAGGAGUCAAGGACAGAAAGCUCAGGUCAUUACCCAGUGCCAACUCCAGACCAUUUCCCUCCACUGUCCUCCUCUGAGGAUGUUCCCUCUUCCCACCCUUGUCACUGUCAAUUACACACAUGUUGGUACCCCCCACCCACUGUCGUUUGCAUACAGAGAAAACAGGCAUCUUAGUAUCCCAAAAUUUCAGGUCUUCAGCGUCUCUCUGUGCUCUGCUGUAGGCACACGAUCACCGAGUUUUCACAGCUCCUUUAGUGCCUCAUCUCCAGUGAAAUCACACACCUCUCAGCCCUUACAUGCUCCACUCCACUUCCACACCCAAGUCCCAUCUUCACUCUGAUAUUCUCCUGUUCAUAAAUAAGUAACUCAGACCCACCGCAUUCCCAUCACACAGACCCAUCCCCAGUAAACAACCAUCUUUCCUCCCCGACUCUCUUCCUUCUCUCUUCCAACUCUCCUUGUUAAUCUCAGCUCCACCAUCUGACCUAACACAACAAUUGAUGCUCCUUAGAAGUCAAUCUUGCUCUCACAUUUAUUCCACAUUCACACCCCCUUCCCAAUGGCUUCACAUACCAUUAGUGCACUAGAAAUGCCCAUAGAAUUAGCAUAGACCCUACUUCAACCCUGAGACCCAAAUACUCAUCUGCCCACUCCCUACACCAGUGACAAAUCUCAACUCACAUUGAGCAGGUGCCAAGUUGAACCAACCAGUUCUCCAAAUAAUUCACCCCUCUGUCAAGGUCCCCUAAACUUACUUGUUGGUACUAAUUUCCUGCCUACCCCUGAGUGUCAUUCUGGACACCCUGCCACCCCACACUCAUAUAUCAGUGAGCAAUCCAUCCACCCUCCUGAAUCCACCUACAGAUUCUCAACUUUUGAAUAAUUCUUGAGCACCUUUCAGAUUUCCUACAAAAUACCAUCUCCACAGAGUGCCCUUCCCUAAUCCAGCAAUCAAAAUAAUAUUACAUUUUCUCUGUGUUAAUAUUUUUAAUUUUUAAUUGUAUGUGUAUUAUUAUCUAUUUCUUUUCGUACUGUUUUCCUCACUAAAUUGAAUACUCCAUGAAGUGAAGACUAAUGUCGACGUUAAUAUUUUGCACUGCUGUAUUCACUUCUUGCUUUGGCCUUAGAAGGUGCAGAUAUAGCUAUUGAAAGAAAUUAUUCAAACUCAAAGAAAAUACUUUCUAAAUUUUUCAAAAAAACUCAAUUAGAAUUGUAGAAUGAUAUAAUCUCUUUUCUGGUAUAUUGCAAAAAAUUAUCAGUAAGAUAGCAGAUCCUUUCUCUCUGUAAUCCAUGGUAAGACUCUACUCACAAUAAUCUGUUAAAAAUGUAAACCUAAUCAGUACACCUUUCCUUUUAAGCCCCUCAUUUCUGUCUUCAGAAGAUAUUUUUUUAAAGUAAAACCAUAAAUCUCACUUCAUUCCUGUUGUCCUGCUGUAAUUAUUGACGCCACUUCAUUCCCCGACAUGUCCCAGUUUGGAGGGAAAAUUAUUUGACCCUUCCAUUUAUAGAGCACCUAUUAUCUGCCGAGUUAUGCACUAAAACCCAUGAUCCAGAAUUUAACUUAACAAUAUCCCCGCCCCUGUUUAUUUUAAUCUCGGUGAGAGGAAAGAGUUAAUAAACAUAGUACUGAGUGUCUAAUACAGUGUUAGGUAUAACUCGGUCCUGGUAAACAGUAAGGCUGACACAGAGAUAGAGAGAGCAAGAGGGAGGGAUGGAGGAAGAGAGACAAGGAGGGAAGAAGGGAGA
ensembl:lncRNA